rnacentral:lncRNA from 1 species
AUUUAAUUGGUUGUCACCAAUGGAACCAAAAUGACUUCAUUUGGUUUCAACCUGGUCAGAUAUAGAUUUUCAAUGGUUACCAGGAAGGAAAUGUGUUUAUAAUCAGAGGCAGAGAAAAGGAAAUGGUUAUAGCUGGUUACAAAACAAGCAUAAAACCUCCACACUGUUUCUCAUGUUACAAGAGCAAAUAGGAAAGAAGCCACAAAUGGGGAUGGUAGCACAGAGUGUGUGUUGGGUAAACACUAGAGAAACGGGAGAAUGUUCUGGGUCUCUGCUUUUUUCAUUAUAGAAAGGCAGCAAGGGAAGCCGCUGAACAGAGUACAAGGCUGUCUGCUUACUAACUCACCCUCACAGCCAUUGCUCUGAUUGGGCUUCAUCUUCAGGAUCAUACUGGUAAUGCCGUGUUUCAUCUCCUAUUACAAUCCUUAAAUGAAAUGCUUCAGGAUCUCGAUCCCACUUCUUUAAAAAUUCCAUUGAAAGCUCUGCUCUUGUCUGCAGCUGAUCUGAGUGCAGUGGUUUUGUUACCUAUCCAGUGAAAAGUUUGUUCAACUUUAAUUUGUCAUUCAGAAUUGUGUAAGCUGAACCAAUUGAGAUGUCUAUGGUGUUGG